UAGUUGGUGGGCGAAAGGCCCACCGAGGGGACGAUCUUUAGCUGGUCUGAGAGGAUGAUCAGCCACACUGGGACUGAGACACGGCCCACACUCCUACGGGAGGCAGCACUGGGGAAUAUUGGACAAUGGGCGAAAGCCUGAUCCAGCAAUGCCGCGUGAGUGAUGAAGGCCUUAGGGUUGUAAAGCUCUUUUACCCGGGAUGAUAAUGACAUUACCGAGAGAAUAAGCUCCGGCUAACUCCGUGCCAGCAGCCGCAGUAAUACGGAGGGAGCUAGCGUUGUUCGGAAUUACUGGGCGUAAAGCGCGCCUAGGCGGCUAAUUAAUUCAGGGGUGAAAUCCCGGAGCUCAACUCCGGAACUGCCUCUGAAACUGGCUACCUACAAUCUUGGAGAGGUCAGUGGAAUUCCGAGUGUAGAGGUGAAAUUCAUAUAUAUUCGGAAGAACACCAUUGGCGAAUGCGACUGACUGGACAAAUAUUGAC
rnacentral:rRNA from 1 species